rnacentral:rRNA from 1 species
UCUGCCUGGUAGUGGGGGAUAACGUUCGGAAACGGACGCUAAUACCGCAUACGUCCUACGGGAGAAAGCAGGGGACCUUCGGGCCUUGCGCUAUCAGAUGAGCCUAGGUCGGAUUAGCUAGUUGGUGAGGUAAUGGCUCACCAAGGCGACGAUCCGUAACUGGUCUGAGAGGAUGAUCAGUCACACUGGAACUGAGACACGGUCCAGACUCCUACGGGAGGCAGCAGUGGGGAAUAUUGGACAAUGGGCGAAAGCCUGAUCCAGCCAUGCCGCGUGUGUGAAGAAGGUCUUCGGAUUGUAAAGCACUUUAAGUUGGGAGGAAGGGUUGUAGAUUAAUACUCUGCAAUUUUGACGUUACCGACAGAAUAAGCACCGGCUAACUCUGUGCCAGCAGCCGCGGUAAUACAGAGGGUGCAAGCGUUAAUCGGAAUUACUGGGCGUAAAGCGCGCGUAGGUGGUUUGUUAAGUUGGAUGUGAAAUCCCCGGGCUCAACCUGGGAACUGCAUUCAAAACUGACUGACUAGAGUAUGGUAGAGGGUGGUGGAAUUUCCUGUGUAGCGGUGAAAUGCGUAGAUAUAGGAAGGAACACCAGUGGCGAAGGCGACCACCUGGACUAAUACUGACACUGAGGUGCGAAAGCGUGGGGAGCAAACAGGAUUAGAUACCCUGGUAGUCCACGCCGUAAACUAUGUCAACUAGCCGUUGGAAGCCUUGAGCUUU